rnacentral:rRNA from 1 species
UACGUAGGUGACAAGCGUUAUCCGGAAUUACUGGGCGUAAAGCGCACGCAGGCGGCUGCGUAAGUCUGACGUGAAAUCUCCCGGCUUAACCGGGAGCGGUCGUUGGAAACUAUGCGACUUGAGGCGAUGAGAGGGGUGUGGAAUUCCCGGUGUAGUGGUGGAAUGCGUAGAUAUCGGGAGGAACACCAGUGGCGAAGGCGACUUCCUGGCCUGUUCUUGACGCUGAGGCGCGAAAGCUAGGGUAGCAAACGGG